rnacentral:misc_RNA from 1 species
GAUGAAGAACGUAGCGAAAUGCGAUACUUGGUGUGAAUUGCAGAAUCCCGUGAACCAUCGAGUCUUUGAACGCAAGUUGCGCCUCAAGCCAUUAGGUUGAGGGCACGUCUGCCUGGGCGUCACAUAUCGUUGCCUGAUGCCAGUUUCCUCGUGAUGGGUGACUGUGCAGGGCGAAUGAUGGCUUCCCGUGAGCAUUGUUGCCUCAUGGUUGGUUGAAAAUUGAGUCCUUGGUAGGGAGCGCCGUGAUAGAUGGUGGUUGAGUGACAAACGAGACCCAAUCAUGUGAGACCCCUACCGAAUUUGGCCUUCAUGACCCACAUGCGUCUUUGGAACGCUCAUGACGAGACCUCAGGUCAGGCGGGGCUACCCGCUGAGUUUAAGCAUAUCAAAAGCGGAGGA